GGUGUUUACUGUCGAACUGAACACUCUACCGUUUACUGUCUGGUGGUGCUCUUCACCGAGUGUCACCAGUGGUCGGUACGUUUACUUUGAAAAAAUUAGAGUGCUCAAAGCGGUUUUUACACGACCGAAUACUGUUGCAUGGAAUAAUAAAAUAGGACUUUGGUUCUAUUUUGUUGGUCUUCGGAACCAAGGUAAUGAUUAAGAGGGACAGACGGGGGCAUUAGUAUUGCGACGCUAGAGGUGAAAUUCUUGGACCGUCGCAAGACUAACUAAAGCGAAAGCAUUUGCCAAGAAUGUUUUCAUUAAUCAAGAACGAAAGUUAGAGGUUCGAAGGCGAUCAGAUACCGCCCUAGUUCUAACCAUAAACGAUGCCAACCAGCAAUCAGCCUGUGUUCUCUUGAUGACACGGCUGGCGGCUUCCGGGAAACCAAAGUCUUUCGGUUCCAGGGGAAGUAUGGUUGCAAAGCUGAAACUUAAAGGAAUUGACGGAAGGGCACCACCAGGAGUGGAGCCUGCGGCUUAAUUUGACUCAACACGGGGAAACUCACCCGGCCCGGACACUGUGAGGAUUGACAGGUUGAAGCCCUUUCUUGAUUCAGUGGGUGGUGGUGCAUGGCCGUUCUUAGUUGGUGGAGUGAUUUGUCUGGUUAAUUCCGAUAACGAACGAGACUCUAGCCUACUAAUUAGACCGUGGCGUCCUCGUGCCGCCACGGCGCUUCCUAGAGGGACAGACGG
rnacentral:rRNA from 1 species